UUUGGGCUUAGUUGGUUGUGGAGCACAUGAAAACUCCACAGUUAAGCAUGUUUGGGUGGGAGUAGUGCUAGGAUGGAUGACCUCUUGGGAAGUCUCCACCCGGGC
rnacentral:rRNA from 2 species